rnacentral:lncRNA from 1 species
AUGGUGACUGUGGAGCGCUGUCAGCUGUGGAAGUACAGCAUCUGGGACAGGGAGGAGCUACAGGAGAGAGGGCUGGGGUGUGAGGUCAAGGGAGAGAUGGGGCAGCCUCCCCCCGCCCUCCUCCUCCUCUACGUGUCAGACGCCCAGGCAGUCGCCGUUCAAGAAGACCUGAGGGAGCUGUCAAUCAAACAGGCCUUAGAACCACCCACUGGCCAGGCCAGUCCCUUCCUCCUGCUGACUCUGCAUGCCCCUCUGGAGGGGGUGGAAGGGGCUCUACUUCGCUCCAUCCUCGACAUCAUCUGUCUCAACAACGUCGACGCUGCAUGUCUCUGGGGGAACGCUCCCAUCAACGAGGCGCUGGACCUCCACAGUCCCCUCCUGUCAUUGGAUGACAGUCUGGCGCUGAUCGGUAGAACCGGACUAGACCACCAGCUGCUCUCCCUACUGGGACAGAACAAUGCCGAGCCUGUCACAGAACCCGACCAAGACAGAGACACACCUGGGCCAAAUCUGGACACUGUGGAGGGAGAGUCACAGACACCACCGGAGACAGAGGUACAGGCAGAGCAACAGACAGAGGAGGAGGAGCAGAGGGAGGCAGAGAGCGUACCCCUCGCUGAGGUUGGUAGUACUGUGUGUGUGUGUGUUUGGGUGUGGAGACGGAUGUCAUCAAGCUCAACCAUAACAAACCCUAAGCUCUACAUGAAGCAUCAAAUGAGCAACAUGGAACCUAUUACACUUCCUCUGUCUUUUGUCCCCCCUCCAGGAGAGUCCAGUCCAGCCCAGACCCGUGUACACAGUGUGUCACAGCAGAACCAGAGGCUCCUACUCUGUGUUCCUGGGCCCGAAGCCAGGCUCCAACUGGACCCGAUACAAGCACCAGGGCCCCACACGCAGGCAAGCUACACAACUCCCAUGAUUUGUUGAUUCUUUGAAACAGGUGUGUUUCAAGCAGGGCUUGAACAAAAGCCUGCACACCAUAUUGGUCUACAGGACCAGAGAUAGAGACCCUUGCUGUAGAGUAGUGGUUCCCAAACUGUGUGGUCGGCAGGGCAGGCGCAGAAAAUAAUAAAAUAAUAAUAA